UGGGGAAUUUUGGACAAUGGGGGAAACCCUGAUCCAGCCAUCCCGCGUGUGCGAUGAAGGCCUUCGGGUUGUAAAGCACUUUUGGCAGGAAAGAAACGUCAUGGGUUAAUACCCCGUGAAACUGACGGUACCUGCAGAAUAAGCACCGGCUAACUACGUGCCAGCAGCCGCGGUAAUACGUAGGGUGCAAGCGUUAAUCGGAAUUACUGGGCGUAAAGCGUGCGCAGGCGGUUCGGAAAGAAAGAUGUGAAAUCCCAGAGCUCAACUUUGGAACUGCAUUUUUAACUACCGGGCUAGAGUGUGUCAGAAGGAGGUGGAAUUCCGCGUGUAGCAGUGAAAUGCGUAGAUAUGCGGAGGAACACCGAUGGCGUAGGCAGCCUCCUGGGAUAACACUGUCGCUCAUGCACGAAAGCGUGGGGAGCAAACAGG
rnacentral:rRNA from 1 species